rnacentral:rRNA from 1 species
CUGCAGCUUGCUGCGGGUACUCGAGUGGCGAACGGGUGAGUAACACGUGGGUGAUCUGCCUUGCACUUCGGGAUAAGCUUGGGAAACUGGGUCUAAUACCGGAUAGGACAGCUGUUUAGUGUCAGUUGUGGAAAGUUUUUUCGGUGCAAGAUGAGCUCGCGGCCUAUCAGCUUGUUGGUGGGGUAAUGGCCUACCAAGGCGUCGACGGGUAGCCGGCCUGAGAGGGUGUACGGCCACAUUGGGACUGAGAUACGGCCCAGACUCCUACGGGAGGCAGCAGUGGGGAAUAUUGCACAAUGGGCGGAAGCCUGAUGCAGCGACGCCGCGUGGGGGAUGAAGGCCUUCGGGUUGUAAACUCCUUUCGACAGGGACGAAGCGUAAGUGACGGUACCUGUAUAAGAAGCACCGGCUAACUACGUGCCAGCAGCCGCGGUAAUACGUAGGGUGCGAGCGUUGUCCGGAAUUACUGGGCGUAAAGAGCUCGUAGGUGGUUUGUCGCGUCGUCUGUGAAAUUCCGGGGCUUAACUCCGGGCGUGCAGGCGAUACGGGCUGACUUGAGUGCUGUAGGGGAGACUGGAAUUCCUGGUGUAGCGGUGAAAUGCGCAGAUAUCAGGAGGAACACCGAUGGCGAAGGCAGGUCUCUGGGCAGUAACUGACGCUGAGGAGCGAAAGCAUGGGUAGCGAACAGGAUUAGAUACCCUGGUAGUCCAUGCCGUAAACGGUGGGCGCUAGGUGUAGGGGGCUUCCACGUCUUCUGUGCCGUAGCUAACGCAUUAAGCGCCCCGCCUGGGGAGUACG